UCAACAGAAAAGCACCGAGAGGAAAAGCUGCUCGGACGGAGAGCGGAACAAGCCAGUCAAACUUCCUCGGGCUGACUUGACGUCACGCACAACUACCACAGCUCCCGUGAUCUACAACGAUCAAGACUCGUCAUCAAACGACAGCAGCAGCUGUGAUGAUAGCAAGUCUCUGGCACAGGAGGCACUGGACAUCAUGAAGAAUGAGCCUACUUCUGAGUCCUACUGGCAGGAUGUGGCAGAAGAGAGGAGACUGGCACUAGUAGACACACUCAAGGAAAA